rnacentral:ncRNA from 13 species
GUCAUGAUAGCUCAAUUGGUUAGAGCAGCGGCUUAUUUAGCCGAAGGUCGCGGGUUCGAAUCCCGCUCGUCACA